rnacentral:rRNA from 1 species
AUUGAACGCUGGCGGCAGGCCUAACACAUGCAAGUCGAACGAGUGGCGGACGGGUGAGUAAUGUCGGGGAAACUGCCCGAGGGAGGGGGAUAAAUACCGGAAAGGGUAGCUAAUACCGCAUAUCAUCGGAAGUGCCCAUAUGGGAUUAGCUAGUAGGUGGGGUAACGGCUCACCUAGGCUACGAUCCCUAGCUGGUCUGAGAGGAUGACCAGCCACACUGGAACUGAGACACGGUCCAUACUCCUACGGGAGGCAGCAGUGGGGAAUAUUGCACAAUGGGCGCAAGCCUGAUGCAGCCAUGCCGCGUGUAUGAAGAAGGCCUUCGGGUUGUAAAGUACUUUCAGCAGGGAGGCGUUACCCGCAGAAGAAGCACCGGCUAACUCCGUGCCAGCAGCCGCGGUAAUAC